rnacentral:misc_RNA from 1 species
GAUGAAGAACGCAGCGAAAUGCGAUAAGUAGUGUGAAUUGCAGAAUUCAGUGAAUCAUCGAAUCUUUGAACGCACAUUGCGCCCUUUGGUAUUCCUUAGGGCAUGCCUGUUCGAGCGUCAUUUAAACCCUCAAGCUAAGCUUGGUGUUGGGUGACUGUCCGCUUCACGGCGGACUCGCCUCAAAAUUAUUGGCGGCCGGUACAUUGGCUUCGAGCGCAGCAGAAACGCGAACUCGGGCCCGUCGUAUUGGCUCCCAGAAGCUAUCUUCACAAUUUUGACCUCGGAUCAGGUAGGGAUACCCGCUGAACUUAAGCAUAUCAAUAAGCGGAGGA